UACGUAGGGGGCAAGCGUUGUCCGGAAUCAUUGGGCGUAAAGAGCGCGUAGGCGGCCCGAUAAGUCCGCUGUAAAAGUCAACGGCUCAACUGUUGAAAGCCGGUGGAUACUGUCGGGCUAGAGUACGGAAGAGGCAAGUGGAAUUCCUGGUGUAGCGGUGGAAUGCGCAGAUAUCAGGAGGAACACCUAUAGCGAAGGCAGCUUGCUGGGACGUUACUGACGCUAAGGCGCGAAAGCGUGGGGAGCGAACAGG
rnacentral:rRNA from 1 species